UUUUUGCAGUCAUUGGUUUGUAUCCACGGUUACGUGAGCUCUGAAUCAAUGUAGUUUAUCAUGAAGAUACCUAAACUUAGUGUCCUUACGUUUUAACAUUUUGAGACCUAAUGCAUUUAAAGAUUAAAGCUCUGUUGCAGUUCUAUCCGCUAUGAAGAUGCAGACAGUCGUGGAGUCUCAAGAUCCCCUACUGGCCAAUCAUACUUGAUGGGUGGAGGCUAGACAGAGAAGACACCUUAAGGCUCCAGAGAGACUACAGAGACUCAACCAGAGAGACUACAGAAAGGGACUCAACCAAAAACAGCAGUAACGAGACAGAGGAUCAACUACAUAAAAAAAGCUUCCAGAGACUAGAUCCAGGAUCCAGAGAGAACAGACAGAGAACAAAGAGAGAGCUGAGUUAUGGAGAC